rnacentral:rRNA from 1 species
UGGGGAAUAUUGCACAAUGGGCGCAAGCCUGAUGCAGCCAUGCCGCGUGUAUGAAGAAGGCCUUCGGGUUGUAAAGUACUUUCAGCAGUGAGGAAGGGGGUGUCGUUAAUAGCGGCAUCUCUUGACGUUAGCUGCAGAAGAAGCACCGGCUAACUCCGUGCCAGCAGCCGCGGUAAUACGGAGGGUGCGAGCGUUAAUCGGAAUUACUGGGCGUAAAGCGCAUGCAGGUGGUUUGUUAAGUCAGAUGUGAAAGCCCGGGGCUCAACCUCGGAACUGCAUUUGAAACUGGCAAACUAGAGUACUGUAGAGGGGGGUAGAAUUUCAGGUGUAGCGGUGAAAUGCGUAGAGAU